rnacentral:rRNA from 1 species
UAGGUUAGUUAGCAUUAUACCGUGAACUGCGAAUGGCUCAUUAAAUCAGUUAUCGUUUAUUUGAUAAUACCUUACUACUUGGAUAACCGUGGUAAUUCUAGAGCUAAUACAUGCUAAAAAUCCCGACUUCGGAAGGGAUGUGUUUAUUAGAUAAAAAACCAAUGCCCUUCGGGGCUUCUUGGUGAUUCAUGAUAACUUUACGGAUCGCAUAGCCUUGCGCUGGCGACGGUUCAUUCAAAUUUCUGCCCUAUCAACUUUCGAUGGUAAGGUAUUGGCUUACCAUGGUUUCAACGGGUAACGGGGAAUUAGGGUUCGAUUCCGGAGAGGGAGCCUGAGAAACGGCUACCACAUCCAAGGAAGGCAGCAGGCGCGCAAAUUACCCAAUCCCGACACGGGGAGGUAGUGACAAUAAAUACUGAUACAGGGCUCUUUUGGGUCUUGUAAUUGGAAUGAGUACAAUUUAAACCUCUUAACGAGGAACAAUUGGAGGGCAAGUCUGGUGCCAGCAGCCGCGGUAAUUCCAGCUCCAAUAGCGUAUAUUAAAGUUGUUGCAGUUAAAAAGCUCGUAGUUGAAACUUGGGCCUGGCUGGCGGGUCCGCCUCACCGCGUGCACUCGUCCGGCCGGGCCUUCCUUCUGAAGAACCUCAUGCCCUUCACUGGGCGUGUUGGGGAAUCAGGACUUUUACUUUGAAAAAAUUAGAGUGUUCAAAGCAGGCCUUUGCUCGAAUACGUUAGCAUGGAAUAAUAAAAUAGGGCGUGCGUUUCUAUUUUGUUGGUUUCUAGAGACGCCGCAAUGAUUAACAGGAACAGUCGGGGGCAUCAGUAUUCAGUUGUCAGAGGUGAAAUUCUUGGAUUUACUGAAGACUAACUACUGCGAAAGCAUUUGCCAAGGAUGUUUUCAUUAAUCAGUGAACGAAAGUCAGGGAUCGAAGACGAUCAGAUACCGUCGUAGUCUUGACCGUAAACUAUGCCGACUA